rnacentral:tRNA from 1 species
GCCGAAGUGGUGAAACUGGCAGACACGCUACGUUCAGGGCGUAGUGAGCAUUCGCUCGUAGGGGUUCAAAUCCCCUCUUCGGCACAA